GACGGGGGAUGCAAGUGUUAUCCGGAAUCACUGGGCGUAAAGCGUCUGCAGGUGGUUUCCUAAGUCCACUGUUAAACCUUGAGGCUCAACCUCAAAUUUGCAUUGGAAACUAGGAGACUUGAGUAUAGUAGGGGUAGAGGGAAUUUCCAGUGGAGCGGUGAAAUGCGUAGAUAUUGGAAAGAACACCGAUGGCGAAGGCACUCUACUGGGCUAUUACUGACACUCAGAGACGAAAGCUAGGGGAGCAAAUGGG
rnacentral:rRNA from 1 species